AACGAACGCUGGCGGCGUGUUUAAGACAUGCAAGUCGCACGGGAUAAGACAUGUAGUAAUACUUGUUUUAUUUAGUGGCGCACGGGUGAGUAACACGUGAAUUACAUGCCCUAUAGUGGGGAGUAGCCCAGGGAAACUUGGAUUAAUACCCCAUGGUAUCGAAAGAUUAAAGGUGGCCGCAAGGCUGUCGCUAUAGGAUUGGUUCGCGCCCUAUCAGCUUGUUGGUGAGGUAACGGCUCACCAAGGCAAUGACGGGUACCUGGUCUGAGAGGACGAUCAGGCAGACUGGAACUGGGACAAGGUCCAGACACCUACGGGUGUCAGCAGUCGAGAAUAAUUCACAAUGGGGGCAACCCUGAUGGUGCAACGCCUCGUGGAGGAUGACGGUCUUCGGAUUGUAAACUCCUGUCAUCUGGGAGAAAGACCUGACGGUAAAUAGCCGGCAGGGUUGAUAGUACCAGAAGAGGAAGGGACGGCUAACUUCGUGCCAGCAGCCGCCGCCG
rnacentral:rRNA from 1 species